rnacentral:rRNA from 1 species
UCAAACGGAUCCUUCGGGAUUAGUGGCGGACGGGUGAGUAACACGUGGGAACGUGCCCUUUGGUUCGGAACAACUCAGGGAAACUUGAGCUAAUACCGGAUGUGCCCUUCGGGGGAAAGAUUUAUCGCCAUUGGAGCGGCCCGCGUCUGAUUAGCUAGUUGGUGGGGUAAAGGCCCACCAAGGCGACGAUCAGUAGCUGGUCUGAGAGGAUGAUCAGCCACAUUGGGACUGAGACACGGCCCAA